CUCGUAUUCAUAGUCGAGCGCCAGCCGCCCGCUGGUUGCAGAUUUCCUGAAAAUGUUCAUUCUUAUUUCAUAGUCGAGCGCCCUCCGAAUGACGCCUGCGCAGAACGGUGUUUUGAUGUUCUAAGCUCUCGCCGGCGGGCGAUUGGAUAAGUUUAUUUUUUUCGUUUCAUAGUCGAAUUUCGAGGAAAGAACACAUGCGCUGUUUAAGCUGAACCGAUUGUCUUUCGCCGGGCGACUGGAGCAUGUCCCGACAUUCUCAGGGCGACUCGCCAGUUGAAUUUAAGAGCAUAGACCUGCUAUAACUAUUAUGGAAAACCUUUAUAAUAUUGUCCGACUAAAUGCAGAAAUCGACGAAAAUGAUGACAUUAAUUUAAGAAUGCCUAAAAGAUAUAUUAGAGAUAUGCAAAACCCAGUUCAAUUUUACAAUGAUUUCGAAUUUAAACGUCGAUACAGAUUCAGUAAAAAUGUAGUUAUGGAACAUUUAAUUAAAUUAGUGGAACCAGAACUAUUAAAAGUUAACCAGCGUGGUUUACCAGUUUCGCCUUUAAUAGCAGUGUUAUGCACAUUACGAUUUUAUGCAUCUGGAAGUUUUCAGCUUACUUGUGGGGAUCUUGGAGGAAUCUCACAGUCAACUGUGAGUAGAAUAGUAAAACAAAUUUCAACAAUAUUUGCAGCUCAAAGUCGUAAUUCUAUUAAGAUGCCCACAACACAUGCAGAAGAACAACAUAUAUAUGAACAAUUUUACCAGAUUGCGCACUUUCCUGAGAAUUAUACCGAAAUAGAAAACGUACAUUCAGUAUAAACGUUCAAGUUGUUGCUGGACCAUCUAUGAAAAUUAUGGACAUUGUUGCAAGGUGGCCUGGAAGAGAAC